AAGACUUACGCUAAAAUUGUAGUUCUAAAUUUUAAACUUGUAUUCAAUUAUGUGGAAGUCUUUCCUAUGAUGGUUAAUUUGAAGCUCGAAAACUUUCUGCUGUCAGUUCUACGUCAAACCAUACGACGCCAGCGACGCCAUAUUGAAAAUCUAACAUAAUAAUAAUG